rnacentral:lncRNA from 1 species
CGGCGGCGGCCAGUGUCAGGUAGAAGGUCUGCUUGUCGGCGCCCAGGUAGCAGGCGGAGAAGACCGCCGCGGUCUUGGGCGUGGUGGUGCCGGUGGCGUACAGCUGGAAGAUGUUGUUGCAGUCGGCGGGGGACAGGCCGGAGCUGGGCACGGAGGCGGCCACGGGCAGCGUCACCUGGAGCGACUUGGGGCCAGUCAGGGUGGCGGAGCUGAUGGAGGGGUAGAUUACGACGGCACCGCUGGGCUUGGUGGUGUACAGAAGAGUGAUGGCAGCUGUGGGCUUCAGGUAGUUGGUCGCGGCGGCGGCGGCCUGGUCCGCGGCCACCGACAGGGUGGUGCCGGGCACCCAGUUCGCGGUGGCCAGAGUCACGGUGGUGGUGUACGGUGCAGUGAAAUCAGAGCCCGGGUUGCUGCAGCCGGCAAUGGUCGCAGUGCCGCCAGUGAGGCUGAAGAUUGUCGAGCAGUCCGCAGGAGAAGCGAUGUCAUCAUCGCAGGUGUCGCCGGUGGUGCCCUUGGAGCAACCGGUGAAGCUCCCAGUGCAAGUGGGAACCACCAGGCCGGUGCCGCCACAAGAGAAGGUUAUUGCGCAAUUUGCGGUGCCAGUGAAGGGGCUCUUGCAAGUGGGGGCGGUGGAUGCAGUGCAGGUAGGUCCGGUAGCCGAGACGCAAGCGAACUUUCCACUGGAACUACAUGUUGGCAUGCCAGAUAUCCAGCCUGU